rnacentral:rRNA from 1 species
UACGUAGGCAGCAAGCGUUGUUCGGAGUUACUGGGCGUAAAGAGUGCGUAGGUGGUGCCCUAAGUCUGUUGUGAAAUCUCCCGGCUUAACUGGGAGGGUGCGGUGGAAACUGGGGUGCUUGAGUGUGGGAGAGGUAAGCGGAAUUCCUGGUGUAGCGGUGAAAUGCGUAGAUAUCAGGAGGAACACCGACGGCGAAGGCAGCUUACUGGGCCGAUACUGACGCUGAGGAGCGAAAGCGUGGGGAGCGAACAGG